rnacentral:rRNA from 1 species
ACACGCUGGCGGCAUGCCUAACACAUGCAAGUCGAACGGAGAUAGCAAUAUCUUAGUGGCGGACGGGUGAGUAAUGGAUGAGUAAUCUGCCUCAUACACUGGGAUAACACAGAGAAAUUUGUGCUAAUACCGGAUGAGACCACACUACCGCAUGGUAGAGGGGUCAAAGGGCUUUUACUGGUAUGAGAUGAGCUCAUCUCCCAUUAGCUAGUUGGUAAGAUAACAGCCUACCAAGGCGACGAUGGGUAGCCAGCCUGAGAGGGUGAACGGCCACAUUGGAACUUAGACACGGUCCAAACUCCUACGGGAGGCAGCAGUGGGGAAUAUUGGGCAAUGGGCGAAAGCCUGACCCAGCAAUGCCGCGUGAGUGAAGAAGGUCUUCGGAUUGUAAAGCUCUUUGAUUAGGGACGAAAAAUGACUGUACCUAAAGAACAAGCCCCGGCUAACUACGUGCCAGCCGCCGC